GGUUAGCGAAAACCAAAUACUUUGGCUUCGGAGCUUCUAGACAAUUGACAGUUAGAAUUAUUGGGGACUUAGAAAUUUUACACCCGUAUUUUGAAUUUCUCUAAUAGAUGAGAAUUUCAAAAUACUGGUAAAAUUGCUAAGUCCCCAAGAGGUACCGAACUAUAAGUAACAUAUCCUAUACAUAUAGGUACAUAUUAUUAUAAGAUAAUCUACCAAGCGAAGUGAGGUUUUUCAUUUACUGUCUUAAACUCAAUGAUGUAUAAGUUGUAUAUGAUGUAUAAGUAGUAUAGGUACAAUAUGUAUACUUUUCAAAUUGCCCGCCAAAUCCAGAGAACUGUCAAUUGUCUAGAAGCUCCGAAGCAAAGUAUUUGGUUUUCUCUAGACGCAAGUGGUGAAGGGAUGAUGGGCGUACUAGCCAGCCCACUUAAAAUUGAAACCUAUGAUAAGAAUGUAUUGCAGUUUUAAGGAAUGUGUAGAUAUUGGAUAUUAUGUUUUUAAGUCAGUCGAGUUUGUAACAUUCUUC